UCAUGGCUCAGGAUGAACGCUAGCGGCGUGCCUGAGAUAUGCAAGUCGAGCGAUCAUAGGUCCGCAAGGAUCUGUGAAGCGGCGGACGGCUGAGUAACACGUAGGAACUUGCCCCCAAGUAGGGAAUAGCUCACCGAAAGGUGGGGUAAUGCUUUAUAGUCCCCUCCAUUGGAGGGGUAAAGGACGUAACUGUUCGCUUAGGGAUAGUCCUGCGGCCUAUCAGGUAGUUGGUGAGGUAAUGGCUCACCAAGCCUAUGACGGGUAGCUGGCCUCAUGAGGGUGGUCAGCCAGAGGGGGACUGAGACACGGCCCCCACUCCUACGGGAGGCAGCAAUCAGGAAUAGUCGGCAAUGGACGAAAGUCUGACCGCGCGACGUCGCGUGUAGGAUGAAGCUUCAAAAGAGUGUAAACUACUGUGGUAGGGGAAAAAGUUCCGCUUAUAGCGGGAUUGACGGUACCCUACUAGAAAGUGGCCGCUAACUGCGUGCCAGAAGCGUCGGUAAUACGUGGACCACAAGCGUUAUCCGGUGUCACUGGGCGUAAAGAGUCGUGUACGUGGUGAAUU
rnacentral:rRNA from 1 species